GACGAACGCUGGCGGCGUGCUUAACACAUGCAAGUCGAACGGAAAGGCCCUGCUUUUGUGGGGUGCUCGAGUGGCGAACGGGUGAGUAACACGUGAGUAACCUGCCCUUGACUGUGGGAUAACUUCAGGAAACUGGGGCUAAUACCGGAUAGGAGCUCCUGCUGCAUGGUGGGGGUUGGAAAGUUUCGGCGGUUGGGGAUGGACUCGCGGCUUAUCAGCUUGUUGGUGGGGUAGUGGCUUACCAAGGCUUUGACGGGUAGCCGGCCUGAGAGGGUGACCGGCCACAUUGGGACUGAGAUACGGCCCAGACUCCUACGGGAGGCAGCAGUGGGGAAUAUUGCACAAUGGGCUGAAGCCUGAUGCAGCAACGCCGCGUGCGGGAUGACGGCCUUCGGGUUGUAAUCCGCUUUCGCCUGUGACGAAGCGUGAGUGACGGUAAUGGGUAAAGAAGCACCGGCUAACUACGUG
rnacentral:rRNA from 1 species